rnacentral:rRNA from 2 species
GGGUUGUGAGGUUAAGCGACUAAGCGUACACGGUGGAUGCCCUGGCAGUCAGAGGCGAUGAAGGGCGUGCUAAUCUGCGAUAAGCGCCGGUAAGGUGAUAUGAACCGUUAUAACCGGCGAUACCCGAAUGGGGAAACCCAGUGUGAUUCGUCACACUAUCAUUAACUGAAUCCAUAGGUUAAUGAGGCGAACCGGGGGAACUGAAACAUCUAAGUACCCCGAGGAAAAGAAAUCAACCGAGAUUCCCCCAGUAGCGGCGAGCGAACGGGGAGGAGCCCAGAGCCUGAAUCAGCAUGUGUGUUAGUGGAAGCGUCUGGAAAGGCGCGCGAUACAGGGUGACAGCCCCGUACACAAAAGCGCAUGUGCUGUGAGCUCGAUGAGUAGGGCGGGACACGUGGUAUCCUGUCUGAAUAUGGGGGGACCAUCCUCCAAGGCUAAAUACUCCUGACUGACCGAUAGUGAACCAGUACCGUGAGGGAAAGGCGAAAAGAACCCCGGCGAGGGGAGUGAAAAAGAACCUGAAACCGUGUACGUACAAGCAGUGGGAGCCCCACCACUAAGCCAGUGGUGAACUCCACAUCCGCAUCCUUUGCUGAGGAUACGGUUAACGGAGCGAAAGCGACGUUCAACCGCAAAACAAGCAGAGGGGGCUUAGUGGUGGGGUGACUGCGUACCUUUUGUAUAAUGGGUCAGCGACUUAUAUUCUGUAGCAAGGUUAACCGUAUAGGGGAGCCGGAGGGAAACCGAGUCUUAAUUGGGCGUUAAGUUGCAGGGUAUAGACCCGAAACCCGGUGAUCUAGCCAUGGGCAGGUUGAAGGUUGGGUAACACUAACUGGAGGACCGAACCGACUAAUGUUGAAAAAUUAGCGGAUGAUCUGUGGCUGGGGGUGAAAGGCCAAUCAAACCGGGAGAUAGCUGGUUCUCCCCGAAAGCUAUUUAGGUAGCGCCUCGUGAAUUCAUCUCCGGGGGUAGAGCACUGUUUCGGCUAGGGGGCCAUCCCGGCUUACCAACCCGAUGCAAACUGCGAAUACCGGAGAAUGUUAUCACGGGAGACACACGGCGGGUGCUAACGUCCGUCGUGAAGAGGGAAACAACCCAGACCGCCAGCUAAGGUCCCAAAGUCAUGGUUAAGUGGGAAACGAUGUGGGAAGGCCCAGACAGCCAGGAUGUUGGCUUAGAAGCAGCCAUCAUUUAAAGAAAGCGUAAUAGCUCACUGGUCGAGUCGGCCUGCGCGGAAGAUGUAACGGGGCUAAACCAUGCACCGAAGCUGCGGCAGCGAACGUAUCACCCAAGACAACUUUACGGAGUUGACGAUUGACGGAGCGAAGCGACGUCAAAGCGUUCAUUAAAGUCGAGUUGGCUUAGGGAUACGUUCGUUGGGUAGGGGAGCGUUCUGUAAGCCUGUGAAGGUGUGUCGUGAGGCAUGCUGGAGGUAUCAGAAGUGCGAAUGCUGACAUAAGUAACGAUAAAGCGGGUGAAAAGCCCGCUCGCCGGAAGACCAAGGGUUCCUGUCCAACGUUAAUCGGGGCAGGGUGAGUCGACCCCUAAGGCGAGGCCGAAAGGCGUAGUCGAUGGGAAACGGGUUAAUAUUCCCGUACUUGGUGUUACUGCGAAGGGGGGACGGAGAAGGCUAUGUUGGCCGGGCGACGGUUGUCCCGGUUUAAGCGUGUAGGUGUGUGUUCCAGGUAAAUCCGGUUCACUUUAACACUGAGGCGUGACGACGAGGCACUACGGUGCUGAAGCAACAAAUGCCCUGCUUCCAGGAAAAGCCUCUAAGCAUCAGGUAACAUCAAAUCGUACCCCAAACCGACACAGGUGGUCAGGUAGAGAAUACCAAGGCGCUUGAGAGAACUCGGGUGAAGGAACUAGGCAAAAUGGUGCCGUAACUUCGGGAGAAGGCACGCUGACACGUAGGUGAAGUGAUUUACUCAUGGAGCUGAAGUCAGUCGAAGAUACCAGCUGGCUGCAACUGUUUAUUAAAACACAGCACUGUGCAAACACGAAAGUGGACGUAUACGGUGUGACGCCUGCCCGGUGCCGGAAGGUUAAUUGAUGGGGUCAGCGCAAGCGAAGCUCCUGAUCGAAGCCCCGGUAAACGGCGGCCGUAACUAUAACGGUCCUAAGGUAGCGAAAUUCCUUGUCGGGUAAGUUCCGACCUGCACGAAUGGCGUAAUGAUGGCCAGGCUGUCUCCACCCGAGACUCAGUGAAAUUGAACUCGCUGUGAAGAUGCAGUGUACCCGCGGCAAGACGGAAAGACCCCGUGAACCUUUACUAUAGCUUGACACUGAACAUUGAGCCUUGAUGUGUAGGAUAGGUGGGAGGCUUUGAAGUGUGGACGCCAGUCUGCAUGGAGCCGACCUUGAAAUACCACCCUUUAAUGUUUGAUGUUCUAACGUGGACCCGUAAUCCGGGUUGCGGACAGUGUCUGGUGGGUAGUUUGACUGGGGCGGUCUCCUCCUAAAGAGUAACGGAGGAGCACGAAGGUUGGCUAAUCCUGGUCGGACAUCAGGAGGUUAGUGCAAUGGCAUAAGCCAGCUUGACUGCGAGCGUGACGGCGCGAGCAGGUGCGAAAGCAGGUCAUAGUGAUCCGGUGGCUCUGAAUGGAAGGGCCAUCGCUCAACGGAUAAAAGGUACUCCGGGGAUAACAGGCUGAUACCGCCCAAGAGUUCAUAUCGACGGCGGUGUUUGGCACCUCGAUGUCGGCUCAUCACAUCCUGGGGCUGAAGUAGGUCCCAAGGGUAUGGCUGUUCGCCAUUUAAAGUGGUACGCGAGCUGGGUUUAGAACGUCGUGAGACAGUUCGGUCCCUAUCUGCCGUGGGCGCUGGAGAACUGAGGGGGGCUGCUCCUAGUACGAGAGGACCGGAGUGGACGCAUCACUGGUGUUCGGGUUGUCAUGCCAAUGGCACUGCCCGGUAGCUAAAUGCGGAAGAGAUAAGUGCUGAAAGCAUCUAAGCACGAAACUUGCCCCGAGAUGAGUUCUCCCUGAGACUUAGAGUCUCCUGAAGGAACGUUGAAGACGACGACGUUGAUAGGCCGGGUGUGUAAGCGCAGCGAUGCGUUGAGCUAACCGGUACUAAUGAACCGUGAGGCUUAACCUUACAACGCCGAAG